rnacentral:rRNA from 1 species
AAACCAGCACCUCAAGUGGUCAGGAUGAUUAUUGGGCCUAAAGCAUCCGUAGCCGGCUCUGUAAGUUUUCGGUUAAAUCUGUACGCUUAACGUACAGGCUGCCGGGAAUACUGCAGAGCUAGGGAGUGGGAGAGGUAGACGGUACUCGGGAGGAAGUGGUAAAAUGCUUUGAUCUCUCGAUGACCACCUGUGGCGAAGGCGGUCUACCAGAACACGUCCGACGGUGAGGGAUGAAAGCUGGGGGAGCAAACCGGAUUAGAAACCCGGGUAGUCC